rnacentral:siRNA from 1 species
UGGAUCUUGAUAAUCUUUGU